rnacentral:rRNA from 1 species
AUUUUGGACAAUGGGGGAAACCCUGAUCCAGCCAUCCCGCGUGUAUGAUGAAGGCCUUCGGGUUGUAAAGGCCUUUUGGCAGAGAAGAAAAGGUAUCUCCUAAUACGAGAUACUGCUGACGGUAUCUGCAGAAUACGCACCGGCUCACGCCGUGCCAGCUGCCGCGGUAAUACGUAGUGUGCAAGCGUUAAUCGGAAUUACUGGGCGUAAAGCGUGUGUAGGCGGUUCGGCAAGAAAGAUGUGAAAUACCAGGGCUCAAUCUUGGAACUGCAUGUUUAACUGCCGAGCUAGAGUAUGUCAGAGGGGGGUAGAAUUCCACGUGUAGCAGUGAAAUGCGUAGAUAUGUGGAGGAAUACCGAUGGCGAAGGCAGCCCCCUGGGAUAAUACUGACGCUCAGACACGAAAGCGUGGGGAGCAAACA